rnacentral:rRNA from 1 species
UGGAGGCAGCAGUGGGGAAUAUUGGACAAUGGGCGAAAGCCUGAUCCAGCCAUGCCGCGUGUGUGAAGAAGGUCUUCGGAUUGUAAAGCACUUUAAGUUGGGAGGAAGGGCAGUUUCCUAAUACGAAAUUGUUUUGACGUUACCGACAGAAUAAGCACCGGCUAACUCUGUGCCAGCAGCCGCGGUAAUACAGAGGGUGCAAGCGUUAAUCGGAAUUACUGGGCGUAAAGCGCGCGUAGGUGGUUUGUUAAGUUGAAUGUGAAAUCCCCGGGCUCAACCUGGGAACUGCAUCCAAAACUGGCAAGCUAGAGUAGGGCAGAGGGUGGUGGAAUUUCCUGUGUAGCGGUGAAAUGCGUAGAUAUAGGAAGGAACACCAGUGGCGAAGGCGACCACCUGGGCUCAUACUGACACUGAGGUGCGAAAGCGUGGGGAGCAAACAGGAUUAGAUACCCGAGUAG